AUUGAACGCUGGCGGCAGGCCUCACACAUGCAAGUCGAGCGAGCGGCGGACGGGUGAGUAAUGUCUGGGAAACUGCCUGAUGGAGGGGGAUAACUACUGGAAAUGGUAGCUAAUACAGCAUACCAUCAGAUGUGCCCAGAUUGGAUUAGCUAGUAGGUGUGGUAACGGCGCACCUAGGAGUCGAUCCCUAGCUGGUCUGCGAGGAUUACCAGCAACACUGGAAUGGAGACGCGGGCCCGACGCCUACUGUAGGCAGCAGUGUGUAAUAUUGCACAAUGGUCGCAAGCCUGAUGCAUCCAUGCCGCGUGUGUGAAGAAGGCCUUCGGGUUGUAAAGCACGUUCAGCGGGGAGGCGUUACCCGAAGAAGAAGCACCGGCUAACUCCGUGCCAGCAGCCGCGGUAAUUC
rnacentral:rRNA from 1 species